AGUCUUCAAUUGCCUGAGGAUCUGAAAAGACAGAUGAUGUGGCAGACAUCUUCACACUUGAGAGUUCCCAUGAGGAAAGGAGUAUAUUUAUCCACAGCAGUUUGAUAAUUGCUCUCAUGGGUGCUACUGUGUGCCUACAGCAUCAACUACUCUAUCUCCAAUAGUCAGAAAUUGAAAUUAAAAUAUUUAAAGAAAUCAAGUUUAAAUGGAAUUAAAUGAGAAAUGUUUUCAAACAGCUUUUUAAAAAAAUAGGACCUUGAGGAGCUCAGUUGGUUUAGGAGAACUGAGCCUGGCAAGCCUCUUGAAGCCUUUUCUACUGUGUGUUUCUUUUUCAGUGACUAAAGAGCUAAUGGACUAAAGGACUAAGGACUAAAAAGACUAAAUGGACAUGGUUAGUCUUGGAGGCCAUCUUGGGAGUUUCUCAGUCCUUAGCUGAACUAUAGAAGUGUCCCUUAUAACACUUCUUAGAGGACAAAAUGACCACCAACAAGCAGAUUUGCUCAAGCUCUAGCUUUGCUUGCUGGAAAACCUGAAGGAAACUGU
rnacentral:lncRNA from 1 species